rnacentral:rRNA from 1 species
GACGAACGCUGGCGGCGUGCUUAACACAUGCAAGUCGAGCGGAAAGGCCACUUCGGUGGUACUCGAGCGGCGAACGGGUGAGUAACACGUGAGUAAUCUGCCCUUGGCUUUGGGAUAGCCACCGGAAACGGUGAUUAAUACCGGAUACGACCACUUCUCGCAUGGGAUGGUGGUGGAAAGUUUUUUCGGCCAGGGAUGUGCUCGCGGCCUAUCAGCUUGAUGGUGAGGUAAUGGCUCACCAUGGCUUCGACGGGUAGCCGGCCUGAGAGGGUGACCGGUCACAAUGGGACUGAGACACGGCCCAGACUCCUACGGGAGGCAGCAGUGGGGAAUAUUGGACAAUGGGCGGAAGCCUGAUCCAGCAACGCCGCGUGAGGGAUGACGGCCUUCGGGUUGUAAACCUCUUUCAGCAGGGACGAAGCGCAAGUGACGGUACCUGCAGAAGAAGCACCGGCCAACUACGUGCCAGCCGCCGCGGUAAAAC